UACAGAGACCUCAAGCGUUAUCCGGAAUCAUUGGGCGUAAAGCGUACCGAUAGGUGGUUUUACAAGUCAGAAGGGAAAUCUCUCAGCUUAACUGGGAGACUGUCUUUUGAAACUGUAAAACUAGAAGGGCAAAGAGGAAGCUGGAACAAACGGUGUAGUAGUGAAAUGCGUUGAUAUCGUUUGGAACACCAAUAGCGUAGGCAGGCUUCUGGGUGCCACUUGACACUGCUAGGACGAAAGCGUGGGGAGCGAAUGGG
rnacentral:rRNA from 1 species